UACGUAGGGUGCAAGCGUUGUCCGGAAUUACUGGGCGUAAAGAGCUCGUAGGUGGUUUGUCGCGUCGUCUGUGAAAUUCUGGGGCUUAACUCCGGGCGUGCAGGCGAUACGGGCAUAACUUGAGUGCUGUAGGGGUAACUGGAAUUCCUGGUGUAGCGGUGAAAUGCGCAGAUAUCAGGAGGAACACCGAUGGCGAAGGCAGGUUACUGGGCAGUUACUGACGCUGAGGAGCGAAAGCAUGGGUAGCGAACAGGAUUA
rnacentral:rRNA from 1 species